rnacentral:tRNA from 1 species
ACCCCCGUAGUGUAGCGGUCAAUCAUGCCGGAUUUUGGAUCCGGCGACACCAGUCCGAAUCUGGUCGGGGGUA